rnacentral:rRNA from 1 species
UACGUAGGGGGCAAGCGUUGUCCGGAUUUACUGGGCGUAAAGCGCACGUAGGCGGCUUUUUAAGUCAGGGGUGAAAUCCUGGAGCUCAACUCCAGAACUGCCUUUGAUACUGAGAAGCUCGAGUCCGGGAGAGGUGAGUGGAACUGCGAGUGUAGAGGUGAAAUUCGUAGAUAUUCGCAAGAACACCGGUGGCGAAGGCGGCUUUCUGGACGACAACUGACGCUGAGACGCGAAAGCGUGGGGAGCAAACAGG